AAUACCUGUUCUCUUUUUUCUCUUAGCCUUUGUUUGGCAAGCUGCUGUAAGUUUUCGAUGAGAUCCUUAAUACUGUCCUAGAAAAAUUCAUGAGUGAUUCAAGAAAAAAAAUUCUAACAAUUGAAAAGAUCAGAUAAGUCUUACACUAUGAACGAACCCUCAAUUCAAAGAUUGAAAUUCUUGGAUAGCCCUGAUAAAUUAGGAUCAUCCCAUUUUCUCAUUCUGACCCUUUUCGCCGAAUAACCCUAUUUAGAUUAGAGUCAGGUCCAAAAGAGCGUGAUGGCUAGAGGUCGAAGAAAGUAGCCCUUCCCCUUCCACUGACUUUGAGUCAGGGGGCUUUAGCCUAUGAACCAAUGUCUAACUUAUUGUCUCAAUGGGGGCUGCACUUCUACUAUGGUAUGACUUCCGGUCCAAGAAAGACUAUUCGGCUUAGAAAGGGUAUGGGCUAUACUUGAACCAGGGUAGACAAAGACGAGUAGGGCUGGCUGAUCAGCCAAAUCCCCUCUUUUUGGACUUUUUUGUCCCGGCCUGCCCAAAGGAUUCAAUUGACUUGACGAA
rnacentral:lncRNA from 1 species